rnacentral:rRNA from 1 species
GACGAACGCUGGCGGCGUGCUUAACACAUGCAAGUCGAACGGAAACGCCCUGCUUUUUUGGGGUGCUCGAGUGGCGAACGGGUGAGUAACACGUGAGUAACCUGCCCUUGACUUUGGGAUAUCUUCAGGAAACUGGGGCUAAUACCGGAUAGGAGCUCCUGCCGCUUGGUGGGGGUUGGAUAGUUUCGGCGGUUGGGGAUGGACUCGCGGCUUAUCGGCUUGUUGGUUGGGUAGUGGCUUACCAAGGCUUUGACGCGUAGCCGGGCUGAGAGGGUGACCGGCCCCACUACGCCGGAGGUACGGCCCGGCCUCGUACGGGAGGCAGGGGUGGAGAAUAGUACACAAUGGGCGGAGGGCUGAUCCGGCACCGCCGCGUGGGGGAUGACAGGAAGCGGGUAGUGUACCGAAUUCGCUUGUGACGAGGCGUGAGUGACGGUAACGGGUGAAGAAGCACCGGCUAACUACGUG